rnacentral:misc_RNA from 1 species
AAGUCGUAACAAGGUUUCCGUAGGUGAACCUGCGGAAGGAUCAUUAUCACAAAUGAUUUUAACUCUCUUAAUCCAGAGUUAACCUCUUCUUAAACCAAUCUAACAAAAUGUGAAAUCGUUUUAUAUGUAUAUAUAUUUUUAUAUUCUCGCAAGAGAAUAUAUAUAUGUAUAUAUAUUAUUAACCAAUUGAACCUUUUUCUAUAUUGUUAUUUUAAUUAAAUUUAGUACUGAACUAUAUAUAUUGUUAUUCAAUAACAAUAUUAUAAUACAUUACGAAACAAUUUAAAUAAAACAACUCUUAGCAACGGAUAUCUUGGUUCUC